GACGAACGCUGGCGGCGUGCUUAACACAUGCAAGUCGAGCGGUAAGGCCCUUUCGGGGGUACACGAGCGGCGAACGGGUGAGUAACACGUGGGUGACCUGCCUUUAGCUCUGGGAUAAGCCUGGGAAACCGGGUCUAAUACCGGAUAUGACUCCGCGGCGCAUGUUGUGGGGUGGAAAGCCUUGUGCGGCUAGGGAUGGGCCCGCGGCCUAUCAGCUUGUUGGUGGGGUGAUGGCCUACCAAGGCGACGACGGGUAGCCGGCCUGAGAGGGCGACCGGCCACACUGGGACUGAGAUACGGCCCAGACUCCUACGGGAGGCAGCAGUGGGGAAUCUUGCGCAAUGGGCGAAAGCCUGACGCAGCGACGCCGCGUGAGGGAUGACGGCCU
rnacentral:rRNA from 1 species